GCCCCCAUAGCUCAGAUGGUUAGAGCAGGGAACUCAUAAUUCUUUGGUCCCGGGUUCAAGUCCUGGUGGGGGCACCA
rnacentral:tRNA from 3 species